GGUUGCUAGGUAAACACAGGCAGAUGGAUCCAGCUCCAGUGAUUUUCAGCAGUGACGGAUGGCAAAGGAUUUAUUAAAACUGGGAUCUGGGACCCUGAACAUUAAUAUGGUGUUCUUCAGUGUGUAUCAGUAGACAGCAGACGCGUUCAACUGCAGCACACCAAGACCUCCCACACUGGCUUCCUGCAGACGUCAAAGUUGACAAAAGAAUUUCGACAUGAAGCUCUGCAGGGAGAAGUGGUGUCACUCUUCCCUGCACAGUAGGACACUUGGAGCAGUGGUGUGCUUUCAAGAUGGAUGUCAUUCUCAGAGAGCUCCCCAGACAGCCAAGAUGCACGGCGCCCUUUCUCUAGGCUCACUGGAGGAUAUUCAUAAUGGGCGGAUGAAGUGUGAGGCUUAUUUUUAUUAGUUUUAUCUAUAUUGCUAGCAUUAUUUCUUUUAAAAUGGCAAGCUGAAGACUGAGACAUAUUUAUUGAGGCCUGCAGGCUUUAACAAUGAAUUCUUUAAUAUAGUCCCAGGGUACUGUGUGCAUCCAAGAAUAAGCCCUAGUGUUUGGAAAGACCAAAUCAAACAUAGAUUUUAUUCUGUUUAAAGCUGUCUUUUGAGAAUGAAUGAUGGUAGCUACCUAGGGCUGUGUUGCGCUCUGGUUUCACAGAGCUGUUUGAAAUCUGAAAAAUUCAGAUGAGUUUCGUUUAGCGUCAUCUAGUCCGAAUAAUCAGAAAAGCAGUGUGAUGCUGGAGGGUAGUCAUAAGCAAAAUGGAUCCAGCUGUCAACACAGUGGAGAGACCUCUAAUUUUGUGGGCAUUAAGCUAAAGGCCAAAGCUGGUGACUGACUCAGCGGUGCACAUGGUUGGUUCCCCAUGUCUGGGUCUGAAGGAGGGUGUGGUGGCUCUGGGACUCCACUUGGAACCAUGGCAGCCAACCCAACAGAGCCAGCGUGGUCUGUGCCAGUGCUGUGCUGUGGAACCAGAGCAGAGUGCAGGUACCUCUCAAGCCUGAGACGUGAGGCUUUGUAGAGUCUCGUGCUGCAGCUAUCAAGGCUCUAUCAUGUGCUGUGCCUCCCACAGAAAACCUAAACUCAGCUUGAGUUUAUUGUCAUCUGCAAUGCUCUGUCACCCUUGACCUGCUCAACAGCUAGUGUGUAGCAUACAUGGACUGCCCAUCUUUCCCCUUUAUACUGUGGCCCAUGUUCAUGUUGGCGGGAGACAGCAGUGUGCCCUGCCUUGGCAACUGCUCUACGUGGCUGUGUCAUUUACUGGUCCUUUCCAUUGCAGAGAGACUCCAUCACUUUCCAGGAAUAGACUGAAUAAAUUAUGUCGAUCAAGAAGACUGUCUUGCCUGUUAGAAUUGAUGCGUUCUUCAGAACUCUUCCUUGAAUAUAAAACCAAGGAACUUCCUUCAGGGGGGACCUGGAAUGGCCUCUGCAGAUAACUACAAUAUCUAAAUGCCACCGACAGUGAAGAUUUUACACUCUGUUUAGGCAUCAUAGACUGGAGCUGACAUUCAAUGGACGGUCGAAACUGGGGAGGAAAAACUAUUUGAAAGCAUGAAGAACUAAUAUCAUUUAUGACCAAGGAAGUACUCGUAUAUGUCAUGUGCUCCUGAUCAAAAUGGCAACAUUGUGAGGUAAGGAAGAAUGGAACAGGAUGGUAUACCCUAGAUUGACCCUGAGAAUUUAAUACUGCAUAUGGCAAGAACGGCAUUUCUUUGCUUAACAGUCCAUACAAGCUACACUUCAUCUUGUACUUGCAUAGGUGAGUUUGCUUCAUGGCAUCUGCAUGACAGCAGCCAAUAGUCUGAAAAAAAAAUGUUGUGACAUUGUGUUGUGUUAUCUGAUCUGAUUUGAGUAGCCUGCAUCCAAUGAAAAGACCAGAGAAUAAACAGUAAAUGUACAGUGGUGCACUUUCUGUCAUCCCAUGUAAAUAUCUUCUCCCUCUUUUUUGCCUUCUAGUUGCAUAGAGACAUUGAAAAUCUCUCAAGCACCUGAAGCUUGCUCAGUGAGGACAGUAAAGCAGUGCGACAGGCUCCCCAGAGAAGCUGUACAGCACAGAUGGAGCAAGCCCUGAGCAAUCUGUUUUGAUCUCAUAGCUGACUCUGCUUUGAGCAGGGUCCUGGGCUGGCUACCUCCUCUGGAUUGUCAGGAUCCUAUGAUUCCAAAUCAUGGUCACAUCUAUAUCAAGGCAUCCAAGUUUGCCAAAUCCUUUCCAACUCCUGGCAUCCGGACACUCUGAAUAUGAGCCAAUUGCAUGUCUGGAUGACAGAUGGUAUUCACCAACCCUUACCAGCCCAGUUUCCUUUAGAAUUAGAGAUAUGUGCUCCAGCAGGUCUCCUUGUUUGAAUAAGGCAGAGGCUGUAGGGACACUGGGAUCUCUUUGGUGGAGAAGCAUCCAAAAUUGCUCAGUACAUGCUAAAGUUCUUUAAAAAGGCCUUGUCACUGCAGUCACUGCUGUGCAGUGCUGUGCAGGGCACCGUUAACUCCACAACUGACUCAAGUAGAGGUGAUUUCAGAAUCACAGAAUCACAUUUGCUGAGACUGAGUCUGUUAUUCUCGUACUUACCUCAUCCCCUGGCAGCUCAGCCUGUAAGGGCACCUGGGGAGUAAUGUUCAUCGAUUCACCAGCAGCAGUGUACCAGGAGCCCUUCUGUAAACACAACUGCUACCUGUGAAUGCUUGUGAAAAUUAGGAAGACCUCACAUGUCAUGCUGGAACAAACAAUACUCUGUUCUUACAUGCAGAUGAAGCUCUUGGGUGUUCAAGGUUAUCUCUAGCACACUUUCUUCUGCCUCUGAGCCCCCAACUCUUGCUACCUCCCAUCCUCUGUCUGCUGAGCUCCAGUGCUUAUGCACAAAGCUGCAGCCCAUUUAAAUCAAUUCUGACACCCAACACCUCUCUGUUUUCUCAGCCUGCCUGCCCCAAAUAUUUCCCUCCAGCCUUGACAGAACGGGUAUUCACUGGGCAGCUACAGAAUAACAAGUUUCCAUUUCUGAGACGGUUGUAUGGGGAGCUUUGUGGUGUGGCAGCUGGCCAACGGGUGAUCAUUUUGCCAGGGGAACUCACUACUGGGUAGUUAAUUUGACACGCAGAACAGAGUGGUUAGGCUCUCUCCAAAGUCCAGUCAGACACUUCUAGAUUCUCAGUAUUAAAUUAUACCUGACACGUAACUCCAAACUAAUGGCAGUUGAGUGCAAACCUUGACUUCAGUGAGGCUGAUCAGACCAGCAGCAGCUCAUUUGCUGUGACACAAUCAAUUUUCCUUCUUAACAGACAUAUGUGAGUUGCACCAUUAGGCUCUCCACAUCUACAUCAGUAAGCUGGAAGAAAAAAGAUGAAGAUACAGUAGUGACAAAUAGUGAUGAUGAAACUAUAAAUAUGAGGUUAGAAAGAGCAGAACUUAUUGCAGUGUUAACAGUCCAGGCCUCUGAAUUCACUCUUUUUCCAGGAACUGCAGAAAGUGUAGGAAUAGGAACAUCACUGCAGAGAUAUGUUCCUUCCUCACACAUGCACUUUCUUCAUUUCAUUUAGGGCUUAGACUGAAUAAUCGUUAUCACCACAUGGUAGCUAUCAGGGGCUAGAUGACAUGUUAUAAAAGCCUAAUGUAGCCAAUGUGUAUUAGAAUCAUAGCCAACACCUGAAUUAUUUGCCAGAACACUUUGAGAUAGACUGUUUUGUGGUAUUUGUAUCACUGGCAAGAAGUAAAAGAAAUCUGGAAAACAUUUCUCAGAGAAAAAAUCUAUGAAGUGUCGCAGAGUCUAGAAGCAGAUAGAUGGUACUGAAAUUCUGAUUGCUUAUUCAAAUGGGUGUGGAGUUCAGGAGUUUUUGGGCUCUAAGAUCAGUGAUUCAUACGUUCUGAUUGUGUUAACAGUUGUACUGACCUGGUCCUUGUGUUCUCUGCAAUUCACUGGCCACUCAUCUUGCCCAAAGUCUGCACAUCAGUGUUGCUGUUGCUCUAAAUAUGAAAACAGAAGGAUUGUACCUGCUUUUCUCAGUCACUUGGAAAUCAGGGGAAAACAUUUAGACUAUUCAUAAGAACUGUAUUAUUUUGUUUCAGGUGGUGCUGACCCUACCUGUUUCAGUGUUGUUCCCAGAUUAUAUGAAGGAUCCCAAGGUCCAGGGGGAGCAUUUGCUAUCUGAUCAGACAUUUGUGGAGUGGGAUGAUAACUGGACUAUGAACUGCUCUUCCUGAACAGUCCCUUGCGAAUAGAGUUCUCCUGCUAUUCAUAUACCUCUCUCACACUGAACUAAUUGUGAGAGGUACUGUAACACCACUACUAGAGUACUGGGAUGGCAAAUGGAGAAAAAAGGUGAUUCUACAAAAAUGCAGUUUUAAUCUGUAGUACCCGCUCACCAGGGAAUACUGAUAUUUAAAGAAAUUUUCCAUUGCCAUGGAUUGAUUACAAAACUAUUGAGAUUUUACAUCACAGCAGAAGUAUUGAGAUGUACUGACUGACCUUUCUG